rnacentral:lncRNA from 1 species
CCUAGGGCUGUGGACUGAAGGGUGACUGGUUCCACAGUGGUCUCCAUGGGAACAGUUGUUUCUGGAGUCUUCCAAGGAGAAAUUCUCACAGUGGACCUGAUCUCUGGGCUGAUGCUGGGUUUCUUGGAGUUCAUGAUUUUGAGAGCUGUAGACAUUUCUGGGCUUCCUGGGGAUGUGCCUGUGAUUAGAAACCCUUCCUGUCAGCAUAGAUAUACCUUGAGUGCCAGAAAACACCCUGGGUAUGCAGUCUGGCCAAAACAGAGAAAUGAACAAGUACAGAUGAUCAAGCUGGAAUCGAGAGGUAGGUGGGAGAUGCCAAACCCAGACUGGGAGGGGGCAGGGAAUCAGGGAAGCCUUCCUGGAGGGGUGACACAUGCAUCAAGAUGGAAAGAUAGGCUGGAGUCCUCCAGACCAGGGGAGGUGGAGCGAAG